CCUACGGGAGGCAGCAGUGGGGAAUUUUGGACAAUGGGCGCAAGCCUGAUCCAGCAAUGCCGCGUGAGUGAAGAAGGCCUUCGGGUUGUAAAGCUCUUUUGUCAGGGAAGAAACGGUUGGGGCUAAUAUCCUCAGCUAAUGACGGUACCUGAAGAAUAAGCACCGGCUAACUACGUGCCAGCAGCCGCGGUAAUACGUAGGGUGCAAGCGUUAAUCGGAAUUACUGGGCGUAAAGCGUGCGCAGGCGGUUUUGUAAGUCUGUCGUGAAAGCCCCGGGCUUAGCCUGGGAAUUGCGAUGGAGACUGCAAGGCUUGAAUCUGGCAGAGGGGGGUAGAAUUCCACGUGUAGCAGUGAAAUGCGUAGAGAUGUGGAGGAACACCGAUGGCGAAGGCAGCCCCCUGGGUCAAGAUUGACGCUCAUGCACGAACGACGGUGGGGAGGACGAACGAGGAGUUAGUAUACCGUACGGUAGUACCGACCGACCCGUAAACCGAACUAGUCUACUAGUUGUUCGGGUUCGUUA
rnacentral:rRNA from 1 species